GACGAACGCUGGCGGCGUGGAUAAGACAUGCAAGUCGAACGAGAUUUUCUUUGGUAGCAAUACCGAAGGAAGUUUAGUGGCGAACGGGUGCGUAACACGUGGGCAAUCUGCCUUAAAGUGGGGGAUAGCUCGGCGAAAGCCGGAUUAAUACCGCAUGUGAUGAGGGGAGACAUCUUUCCAAAAUCAAAGUUGGCGCAAGCUAAACGCUUUUUGAGGAGCCCGCGGCCUAUCAGCUAGUUGGUGGGGUAAUAGCCUACCAAGGCUUUGACGGGUAGCUGGUCUGAGAGGACGACCAGUCACACUGGAACUGAGACACGGUCCAGACACCUACGGGUGGCAGCAGUCGAGAAUUUUUCUCAAUGGGGGCAACCCUGAAGGAGCGACGCCGCGUGGAGGAUGAAGGC
rnacentral:rRNA from 1 species